rnacentral:misc_RNA from 1 species
AGACGGUAAGGGUCGUACAGAGAGGCACCGCGUGAAGUCUCUUGACGCGGGGGAGGGGAGAAGAGCGUCAGCUGCUCAACUCUGCGCUGAAACUUGGUACUAGUUUGACACCUGACGAGCGCACGCACAGCCCCGAGGAUGGAUUCCCGAGCGUACGACAAUACGGCACGUUUUUCUGCGACGAUUCCCUCUUCACGGUCGUUGUCUCUCGCAUCCUCAUCUGCGAAGGCCACGGCGAACUCGGCAGUGGCGAGGGGGAGCAAUAAUGGCUCGCUGCCGCCGAGCAGCGCCGAUUUUCCUGCCAUUGGCAACUGUGGGGGGCCGUUGGCGGACGACGGAGGCGGUGUCCACAGGAAUUAUGCAGCUUCCAGAGUGCUGUUUCCCAAAUCGACGACUGCCGCCAUGUGGCCGAUGCUGAUGGCACUCUCCCCGGCAGAGGCCGAUCGUGCCAGCGACGCCUCCAGCAGGUACAACCAAUACUCCUCUCACACCUCCCCUUCCACGGAUGCUGCUCUUCCACAGCCACACGGAGGGUCGCCGCUUCACCUUUUGCGCUGCAGUGGGGAUCAGGAGGGGCCGGCCCGUUGCGACAGUGGCGGUGGCUCAGGCCUCGGGCAAGGUGUCCGAGCAGACUCACCCUCAUUGGUAUUUCCGCUGCCUGUGGUGCCGCAGACGCAGUUGUCGCUGUUGCCGUCGCAGCUGAGGCCCACGGCGGAAGAAGCGCGGUCGAACUGGGGGCAUGCAUGCCAGGCGUCCUUAUCUCCGCGCAGCAUCAGUGGAAAUGAGCGCGUGGACAGCGGCACCCCCUCACCUCAACAGCCGCUGCCGCCGCAGCGCAUGAAAACGUCGUACGCUGUACACCGUGUGCUACCCCGCAUGGCGCACCCGCAGUUCACCAACAAUCCGCACAUCUUGUUCCCGCAGCACGGCACAUCGAAAUCGGGUUCCUCUACCCACACCUCGCAACCCUGCUCACCGCCUCUGCCACCCCUCAGCAACACCGUAGAUGUGGCGGCGGUCCCCUGCGAACCGUCAAUGGCUGCUGCCACGAUGGACUUGCAUCCCAUGCGGGAAAAAGUAAACGGCAAUGGCGUCACGUCGCCGCCGCUCUCACAGAAGAUUCAUCGAUCACUACUCCACCAGACUGCUUCUCUGAGCACGCUGGACUUUGUAGCUUUACCGUCUCGUGCUCAGAUGCCGGCAGAACUCACAGAAGCAGAAUCGCCCACGCAACCUCCCGAGGCGCUCAGCGCGAAGCCCGACUUCGUGUUCGACUGCGCCGCCAGGGCCCCCGUAGCGACGAUUCCGCUGCUCCUUCCCGCGUCUGCCGCCGACAUUGCCGUGGUGCCGUCUACGUCGACCUCAUGCUCUUCGCAGCUGGAGGAGGGCAGUGGACCGCUGCUCGGUGUAGCGAUGCAGCAGCGGAAGCCGCACACAUUGCUGGCGUCAGCUCUUGCCUUCGCCAAUCUGCAUAACGGCGAAGACAAGAGAAAUGUAAGCGGGGCCUUUACGCCCUGUCUUAUGGCGGUGCUUUCGCCAUUAAACCAACAGCCACGCCACCACCAACACAAUCAACCUUCCGCAGUGGCGCUUUCCAAGGCGGCGACGCCGGUGAUGAGCGGCGGCUACGGUACGCGAGACUUUCAGCGCGGGACAUGGGUGUUCCUGCUCGCCCGCCAGGAGCGCCUAGCGCGCGAGCUACUUGAGGCUGAGGAAACGAGCGAGGCGCUUCGGUGUUUGCCGGCGUCAUACGCGGCGUGGCGCACCUACUACCGCCAUACCUUGGGCAGCGCCGAAUGCGGUGCUGUGCACCUGACUAGCAGCACAGAUAUGGGCAUGUCCCUGUCUUCAGGCGUAUCCACCGCAUUGACAGCGCAGUUCGCCCCAUCCACCAUGAUGCUGUCCGAUACGGGCGACGCGGAUGCUUCCUGCGAGGCGACUGAUAGCGCAUCUCUUUCGCACUGUCGUCUUGCGGACAAGGCGGAAGGGAAGCAGAAAGGCAAGAAACCACUCACGCUACCCCCACACCCGGCGUUCGCGGUGGCUGCCUACCGGCUUGAACUCCUGGAGAGCAUCCUCGGUGACGAAAUCAGGACAGAGGAGGACGAAGCAUUUCACGUCUGCCUUGAGAAGCCGUUCAAGUACGAGCAUCGACUGCUCACCGUCGGCACGUUGCCGCUUGAGCGGUUCCUGCGCAGCUGGAUCGCCAGUCACCGUGCGCGAAGGCUGCGCCGCGCCCUCCAGCGGAGUAAGGUAUGGGACCUGGAGCAGGAGGCCCGUGCCGCACUACAUGCGACGAGCAAAACGCUGCAGCGGCGCUUCCAGCUGAUGGUGACGGCUCUUGUCGAGCAAGAGCAUUACUACCGCCGCGCUUUGGAGCUUCUGUACGCGCAGGAUGCGGCGUGGACUGGGGUGGUGUUGCUGCGCUUGCAGGAACAGGUCGAGUGCUUCCCACUUGCGUUCGGCGCCGUCAUGAGUAGAGCGCGCGUAUGUGGGCGAAUGAAAGGUGCGACCCUGUUCUCCAACCUUGCGCUGGCCGAGCAGGCAAUUCGCGAAACGAUCAGCGGCGAGGAAGCACGGCACCGUGCUGCAUUCCCGACCGAGCUCGAAAUGCGCGGAGUAAGCCGUAUGCAAGAACCACAGGCACGCAAGAAACUUGUCGAUCGCGAAGCUGCCGAGCGCGCCGUGGUGCAUCAAGUCGUGUGCGCGCUGCAGACUCACUACAGCCUCCGGGAGGUGGAUAUCGAGGAGGGCAUUGAGCGCCAACACUGGCUGAAGCAGCCGAUGCAAAAUCGCGUCGAUUCCGUCGUUGCGAGCGCAACGCCGCCGCCCCUGCGUCGUGAUGUUGUCGCAUCCGAGGUGGAGCUGUGAGGCUGCAGGAACAGAAAACUGGGCAACGGGUGCGCGCCCGUCUUCUUCGCUUCUCUUUCGCUGGCGUACACGUACAUGCACCGCCGCGCUAUGCACAUUCAGAAUUAUUCCUCCGGGUCUGUGAUGUGGCGCACGUGAGUGAGGGCGUUGCUGAUGCCCUUCUCUGUGCAUGUGCAUGCGUUUGUACCGCCUCGCUCGUAUCUUCGUCUGUGUCACUCCUCUUCCCUUGUUUCUCUUGACGAGGAACCAAGCGAAGAAGCGAUCCAACCGACGAACCACAGCGUCGGUCUGUCGGUCUGUCUCUCUCUCUCUUCCAUGAAACUUUAUUUCACAUGUACAGGUGUAACACGUCUCUCUCGAUGUGGAUCUUGCUGCUGUCUCUGAGUUUGCGCACGCACGCACGUACGUUUGUGUGUGUGUGUGUGUGUGUCACAUCGAGCAGCGAAAACGCUGCGCGAAAAAAAAAAACAGCAAUGCCGCCCUCCCCCCCCAAAAAAAAGAAAACAUGCGCUUCCUCAACCUGCACGAACGUGCCGCUGCUCCUGUGUAUUAGUUGGUAGGUGGUGAGCGAGAGAGAUGCAGGGAGAAAUUGUGAGUGCCUCUCUCUUUCGGACAUGAACUUCACGGGGAAGCCAACAGGACGGGAGGAUGCCUACCCGGGUUUACUCCGUCUUUUCACAGCAUACCGGCCCUAUUCAACUUGCACAAGCGACAACGUGUGAGCUCGCUUCCCAUGAUGUGCUGUGUGCUAGUAGAAUACGCCUACGUGCGACAGCGACAAGAUGCCUUCUUCUCCAGCUGCUCUUAGAGCUCUCAGUCCCCCCUCCACACACACACACACACACCGUUGCGCUCUUGUUCCUUGCCCUCUGUCUGUGUGUGCGAAUGAGUCUCCUACGGAUCCCUUUAACGCCUCGCAGAGCUCUCUCCCUCUCCUGCCGCUGUUCGACGGCAUCGCGCACACACACGCAAAAACAC